GGCCGGUGGCGUGACGUCACCUCGCCGCGCUCUGAUUGGAGGAUGGCUCCGGGCGGGAGCUCGGGGGUAAACAAAGCGGUGUCGUCUCUUCUCCGCAGCCAUUGCGAAAGGCCUUUUCUGUGGCUCUCAGAAAUCCACUGCUACUGCUUGAACGAGGACGCGGCAUACGGAAAAAAGAGACCCGAAAUACCUCGAAAUGUACGUUACUUCGUUUGACGCGAAAGAAUUUACCCUGGGAGCAUACGAAGCACCAAUAUGCGUCCCGGUCUCCGGCGGUCGGAUGUUGAUGUGAGUCCCCCCAACGUCAGCACGGUGAUGUGCGACGCGAGUGAGCCUUUCUACUUUUUGGCGGAGACCACUUUUCGCCAGCAAGUGACUCGGUGUCUCCGUGAAGCAUCGAAGUGUAGCUACAGCCCUCUUCGGCGAGCUGAACGGGCUGCCGAGCUUUCGAAGGCCGAUCUCCCGCAGCGCUGGCACCCGGAGAACCGCCCCAUGGCGCUCGCUAAGAAUCCACCGGCUGCCGGGCUCGGAGGACAUGUUGCAGGCCCCGUGUAAUGCCCUCGGCGCCUGUGAGACUUCCAGGGGGUCUGCGUUUCACGGCCCCGUUACCAGCUGGGAAGUUCUCCAUAGAGGUAAGAUUAUGAAGAAACCACUCUAUGCACUCAGAGGUAGCUUUCAGAAGUUGUGGAAGCCAAAUACAAAUGCUGAUAUCUUUAGUAAAAAAAAAUUCAUAUUACUCGCUUUAUGACUUAUACAUCUCUAUUUUGCAAGCCACAUAUGGCAGGAAAGUUUCACAUUAUCUCAACCUGGUUGCUCAAGGCACUGAAAAGCUACCUUUUGCAGACGACUGUACCGUUGUCAUUUAUUAUAUGUUAUUCCUUGGCACCGGGGGAUUGGUGGCCGAGGGGGCUUCCACGCACCAGCUCGGAAAAUGUGGAGUGAAAGCUCGCGCUGCAGAACCCAGGAUUGUGUGUUCAAGCCCCACAUUUGCCCGUUUCGAUCUGGAUGAGCAUUGUACCGGCGUGCGGUCGUGUAUCACUACUACGUGAUGCAUGUUAAGGGCCCCAGGCUAGCGGUCAUCUACAGCUGGGAGAGUCAUUGCCCGUCGAGGCAGAUCGAGUUUGAGACUGCAUAAAUAUACACACAACCCGAUUCCUCGGCACGCUGCUGGUAUUGCUGUGCUGAUGUUUGGACGUUUUUUUUUGGUCGUUGAAAUGACUACUGUGGUGCUUGGGUGAAAUAACCUGGUCAAUUACCUCCUCGGCCGUAGUGCGUCGUUCACUUGUUACGCUCUCUUCUCUUCUGGUUAAUGUGGCUCAGAUAACAGUCAUGAAGUCAGCCCGGUUGAAGUUCUCUCGACGCCACAUUCUCACAUCUCUGGCCGAUCAUCCUGCUUUCGCGCAAAACUCACACACCUUGUCUUCUUCGAUACUCCCGAAUGCGCCUUGGUUGCCCGCUCCGCCGCUAAUUUCAGUCCCGUGCCCACUGUUUUAUGACAACCUCCUUGACAUGACAAAUCUAGCUUCUGUAUCUGGCCAUCAUUAUGGGUUAGUGCUCAAUUUGUAAACUUGAUGUUUCAAAGUAACAGUACGAGCUUCCUCCAGCAUCUACUAGCAACCAAGUAAUGACAAAAACCAAAGCUUUAACUUCCAAGACUAAAAACCCAGAAGUAUGAGAACACGCUGGCCAACCCUGCUGAGGACAAGCCAGGAUGAGGACAAGCCAGGAGUGGGACAAGCAUGUAAUCUCAGUAUAUGGAGAGGUGUCCUCGAAGUUCCCAGCUUUAAAAUUGUGGUAGUUUGAGUUGGUUUAAGUUCGAGUCUCAAAAGAGCAAAUAAUGCAAUGUUAUUUAUUUUGAUUUGCAUCCCUUGGAUUCUGGCAGGUGUUCGGUACGAAGGGAAUGGAAUAGACAUGUUCAUUUAUGCAUUCUGUUGCUUCAAAAUAGGCUUUCACUGAUUUUAAGUUGGUAAUGGCAUGGGAGGACAAAUACGCUGCUCAGGGUGUAGCCGGAUCGUUUGACUACUGGGACGACUCUUUUACAGGGGACGACAUCCUGUCCAGCACCAGCUUCACCGUCUGGGACCGAGUGCACGAGGGGGUCGCACUGCAAGCACAUGAAAGAAGGGCACUGCGACUUUGAGGUCAAGCUUGUACAUCUACCAUUACAGAGUCCUAAAUGGAUGCCAAUUGCUACUGAUGACCUUAUGAAGGUGAAACGUCCCUGGAUUAAAGGGAAAAUCUGAUUGAAGGCGAGCUGAAGUUGUUUCUGACUUUAUUCUCUUAUGACUUGAAAGUAAUCUGCCUACUUCAUGAACUUUGAAGAUGCAAAAUUUGUUUCCGUAACUGUCCCACUUCAACGUAAUGUGCACAUUGAAACCUAUUCCUUUUCUUUUUCUGUUUUUUGGCAAGAAAAAAAAGCCAACGAAUCUCCCUCUUCCUUUUCGCAAUGGGGAGGUGUGGAAGAUUGAUUGGAUAUUUUAUAUACGCAACCAGUUUCAUAAGUGAAUGAAGAUAAAAGCAGAAUACAUGUUCACAGAUUAUUUGUGAAUCCUUAGACUUGGUGAAGUGAGCAGUUUAUGUUCGAGUCACGUAAUUAUAAAGUCAAAACCAGCUUUAGUGCAUUUUUAAGAAGCCUUUUAGACCUGAGAGUUCUGCUUUGACUCGGCAAUACACGACUCUCCUUUGUUAUUCCUAUAGCACAGCCGAAACUAUAAACACGAGCAUGUUGCCUGACCAAUGCUUGAACUGCCGUGAAAUCGACGAAGUCCCUAUCCUUCGAGAACAAGUGUCAACGGGGAUAGUCGAAAGACCAGGGUAUUUAUUGCACACGCAUACUUGAUUUCAAGCUUGCAGAUUGAAGUAAUUGUUUAAUGAAUCCAUUCUUAAACCUGUUUGAGAUUGUAUUGGUUCAUAUUCACAGUAUAUUUAUUUUUAAUUUCAGCAAGGAAUAAUUUAGAGACAGAUGUUGGUGUUCAGGCGUGAUGCUUUUAUUUUCGUAACAUGCAAGAGUGCAAAAAAUUAGACUUGGCUUUGUAAGCUGAUCUUUUUAUGUAUUCUUCCAAACAGCAUAGCAAGCAAUAAUAUAAGGGCUACAGCUGCAAAAGUGGCUACACCUGGCAUCUCAUUUGUUUUAUAGCGUGUACAGGUGAGACACUAUACUCCGUUUCACGGUCACUUGGCAAACAUUGUGACCCAAUAAGAGCAUCGGAGCCAGGCACAUGACAACACUCCACGGUCGAGUCCUCGUUAUCGCCACAGCAAGAGCGCCAUCUGCGACAAAACAUAGUUCUAGGCUUUUUUUUUUUUUCUCUUCUUCUUUUAGUAGUGUUGCCGUAGGAUUCUUCGAACCACAACACUACAUGACACUGAAGAAAGACUAAGACAUAUGUUACUUAUUAACGACACUUAAUAUAUAUCAACACUUUUGAGAAAAACGUGGCUUGUGAUCGACGUUCAAACAAUUGUAGCCGUGAAUCGACCACUUCCGCUCAAAACAUCGCCCUAGCAUUAGCACCCGCCACAGAUUCAUGGGCAAAUUGAGCAUGUGGUUGCCUCAUAAAAGUGUUACUGAAGACCUCGCUACUCUAGCGGACGGUAAAGGCCGGUUCUCACAUGCAGCGAAGCGCUCCUCACGUGCCGUCAGCUACUUAUUGUCUGCCAUGAGCGACAGUUUCGACGGUGCGAUACAAAGCUGGUGAACGCUCCCGUCAUCACGCGCUUAGCGCGAGGUCAGCGCUAUGCUUGUAGCGCUCCGCUGCAUGUGUGAACAGGCCUUAAUGUUGCUGCAGUGGACGUCCAUCCGAAUUCGUUUGGUUUCUGAGCAUUUGACAGCCGGUUCUGGUGGGUGGUCCUUGCAUUUGACGCGGUGACACAGAUGCUCCUGUGACAUGCUGCCAUGUGCCUCGCUCCGACAUUCUUACUGGGUCGCAGGAGCCGUAGCCUCCACGGUUCACCAAGCUAUCGUGAAACAGAGUGUAGACUAAGUUGUCUGCUAAUGAAAGUAGCGUUGCCAGCAUCAUGUAUUAUGUAUGAAACAGUGUUUACUUCGAGAAAACAAAUAAAGCCAUUCAUCCUUUCCA